GGCAUCCAAGGGAGCUUUCUGGAACUGUUUAUCCCACAGUGGGCUUAAUUUUCCACCUCAUUUUGCAGACUUACUCAGCAAAUUGGCUUAUCUUCUAUGCUUCAUGCCAGUCCUCAAACUUCAGUAAGGCAAGAAAAUCUUUCAGCCGUUCUCCCUAAUCACCUCACUUCUGUUUCCCACACUUCCAGUUCAGUGUCAGAUUGGCUGACCUCUUAAUUUUCAGCCCGAAUGCCACACACUGCUGAGAAAACCACAGAUGCAUACACGCCUGUCUCUUAAAGCAGGAGUCGGCACACCUUUUCUUGUAAGGGACCAGAUAGGGAGUGUCUUCAGCUUUGUGGGCCACACAGUUCCCGUUGCGGCUCCUGAGCCCUGCCACCUCUGUGUGAACACAACCAUAGACAACCGUGUGUGUGAACGAGCAUGGCUGUGUUCUGAUAAAACUUUAUGUACAAAAGCAGGUGACCCAACAGAGAUGGCUGGAUACCGAACCCUGUCUUCCUUAAUCAACCCAGGCUACAAAAACUGACCCUGAUAAAUGAGGAAGUGUUCAUAAAAUAGGUCUUUGAUUUGAGGAACGAUACACUUCAUAAGUCCAUUAAGAGUGCGACUGUCCUAGUCUCCUGGAAAUGUAUUUGGAUUACAAAAAAAAAAAAAAAACCAAAC